rnacentral:rRNA from 1 species
UACAGAGGAGCCAAGCGUUGUCCGGAUUGACUGGGCGUAAAGCGCACGCAGGCGGAUGCGCGCGUGGGGUGUGAAAUCUGGCCGCUUAACGGCCAGGCGCCAUCCCAUACGGCGCGUCUGGAGUGAUGCAGAGGUCGAUGGAAUUGCCGGUGUAGUGGUGAAAUGCGUAGAGAUCGGCAGGAACACCCAGGGGGAAACCAGUCGACUGGGCAUCUACUGACGCUGAGGUGCGAGAGCGUGGGUAGCAAACAGG